CUCAUAUUCAUGGUCUCUUUAUAAAGUUUCCUUUUUUAUUAUUGCUAUAUGUUACUUGAAGCGAUAUGAUUUUAUUAAAAGCUUCUCUCAUUUUUUCCAAAAGACCUACAAAUGACUUGGGAUAUCCAAUGAAUUCUGGAAAAAUGUACAGCUUAGGCUGGAGGCCUAAGGUACCUUGGAAAGAAGGAAUAAAGAAAACAAUUGAAUGGUAUCAAGAGAAUUUCCACAACUGGAAGAAUGCCGAGAAAGCUUUGGAGCCUUUUCCUGUUUCCGAGGCGUCUGUAUGAUUUCAUCUCCAGUAAAGCUGGAAAGAAGAAAUGAAGAAAACCAUUCUACCUCAGGACCACAUAUAAGG